rnacentral:sRNA from 1 species
AAUCUACUCAUCAAGAGGACUAGAUGAUGACUUUCAAAUCUUUUUUUUUUGGUUUUUUUUU